UGGGGAAUAUUGCACAAUGGGGAAAGACCCUGAUGCAGCGACGCCGCGUGAGUGAAGAAGUAUCUCGGUAUGUAAAGCUCUAUCAGCAGGGAAGACAAUGACGGUACCUGACUAAGAAGCCCCGGCUAACUACGUGCCAGCAGCCGCGGUAAUACGUAGGGGGCAAGCGUUAUCCGGAUUUACUGGGUGUAAAGGGAGCGUAGACGGAUCUGCAAGUCUGGAGUGAAAGCCCGGGGCUCAACCCGGACUGCUUUGGAAACUGUGGAUCUGGAGUGCCGGAGAGGUAAGCGGAAUUCCUAGUGUAGCGGUGAAAUGCGUAGAUAUUAGGAGGAACACCAGUGGCGAAGGCGGCUUACUGGACGGUAACUGACGUUGAGGCUCGAAAGCGUGGGGAGCAAACAGGAUUAGAUACC
rnacentral:rRNA from 1 species